AUACGGAGGGUGCAAGCGUUAAUCGGAAUUACUGGGCGUAAAGCGCACGCAGGCGGUUUGUUAAGUCAGAUGUGAAAUCCCCGGGCUCAACCUGGGAACUGCAUCUGAUACUGGCAAGCUUGAGUCUCGUAGAGGUGGGUAGCAUUCCAGGUGUAGCGGUGAAAUGCGUAGAGAUCUGGAGGAAUACCGGUGGCGAAGGCGGCCCCCUGGACGAAGACUGACGCUCAGGUGCGAAAGCGUGGGGAGCAAACAGGAUUAGAUACCCUGGUAGUCCACGCCGUAAACGAUGUCGACUUGGAGGUUGUGCCCUUGAGGCGUGGCUUCCGGAGCUAACGCGUUAAGUCGACCGCCUGGGGAGUACGGCCGCAAGGUUAAAACUCAAAUGAAUUGGCGGGG
rnacentral:rRNA from 1 species